UAUCACCAAAUACAACUAACAUUUCAAUAUUAUGAAUGAACACGAAUGCGGCCACUUUCAUUUAAGACGGAAACCGUCUAAAAUUUAAAUAAAAUGCUAAAAUUGUGAAGAUUUCAGUAAUUUAGCAUGACUUAAUGAUGCUAGUACCCGAUAUAUGUACAUUGUAUUGUCAAAAACAGCCCAUAUUUAUGUAGCAGAAGCAUUCUACUUUCCAGUAAAUAUCUAAAAGAUUACAUUUUCACAAUUUUGUAAAACUGCUAUAUUUUGGGGCC
rnacentral:lncRNA from 1 species